AUCGACUCCACAUACUUUUCCCGACCACACAGCUAUAAAAGGAAGCCGAGACAGAAAGAUUCAGACCGCAACCUGAGAAAACAGUGACAGAGUGAUGAGUUCUGUUCGCUACAAAUCAUCAGAUCCAUCGCAAUGCACACCUGUCAUUGCUUCCGAACGCAUCGAGAGUAGGAAGAAGCUGGAGAAGAAGAAGAAGAGCCACGUGUUGCUAGAAGGCUACGUGGAGAGUCUCGCCACGCUGGAUAAUAAUAACCAAGACGAUCUGACGAGAUCCAAGAGCUUGACCGACGACGAUCUCGAAGAUCUCAAAGGUUGUCUAGAUCUAGGCUUUGGUUUCAGCUACGACGAGAUCCCUGAGCUCUGCAGCACUCUACCUGCUCUAGAGCUUUGCUACUCCAUGAGCCAGAGAUUCUCUGACGACAACAACAAGUCAUCGCCGGAAAAUUCGUCGGUUGACGAUUCUCCGGCGCCUCCGAUUGCCAACUGGAAAAUAUCUAGCCCCGGUGAUAAUCCGGAUGAUGUGAAAGCUAGGCUCAAGUACUGGGCACAAGCCGUUGCCUGUACUGUCCAGUUGUGCAGCUGAAUGGUUCAUUGUCACGUCUGAAGCAGGAACACUAGUGAAGAUGUGAUAUUUACAUGAACAUUUAUCUCAGGCAGUGUUUAGCUGAGGUGGAGAUCUCAGAAAGGCAUUAGAAGUCUCAAGCUCUCUGGAGCUUUUAACUCCCCUGACUGGUUAUGGACCCUCUGAAAGGUAAACUAUUAACUAAUCUAACUGAGUGUGAUGUUGGGUUAUGUCUUAUGCUACAAUGUAAAGCUUAGUACAUGAGAAAAGAAAGCUCGAUUGUUGCCCUUGUGCAGUGGUGGGAGACGUGUUUAUUGAAGCUAUCACUAACUGGUUAGUGACCUCUAACUGCUGAGGUAACUAAUUCUAACUUCAUAACUUGAUCAAUAUGUUUCGUGGGAGACUUGUGUGCCUAUUUACGUGAUGCUACUUGGAUCUUUCUGAAGAAUGAGUGGGAGGAAAAGAAAGAAAAAUGGAUUCCAGAUGUUAUGUGUUAUCUUCAAGGUUAUCUUCUUCCUUAAAAGCAAACUGUUUGAAAAUCUACAUUGGUUAAGUAUAUAACUAAAUAGUGCCUUAUAACAUCCAAAGAUACUCUCAUGUUAGAGCAAGAUAUGUAAGGCCUAACUAAUCUCUGUGUCAAUCUUGCUCCUAUAUUGGCUGAAGCUUCUAGGAAGUUGUAACCUUGUAAGAGGCACUCGCAUCUAAAUUUGUCAAUGUCGUUGUAAGCUU